UAAAGAUUCAUCGCUGAUAGAUAGGCAUGCGUUCCAUUAGGCAGUUGGCGGGGUAACGGCCCACCAAACCGACGAUGGAUAGGGGUUCUGAGAGGAAGGUCCCCCACAUUGGUACUGAGACACGGACCAAACUCCUACGGGAGGCAGCAGUGAGGAAUAUUGGUCAAUGGGCGUGAGCCUGAACCAGCCAAGUCGCGUGAGGGAUGAAGGUUCUAUGGAUCGUAAACCUCUUUUAUAAGGGAAUAAAGUGCGGGACGUGUCCCGUUUUGUAUGUACCUUAUGAAUAAGGAUCGGCUAACUCCGUGCCAGCAGCCGCGGUAAUACGGAGGAUCCGAGCGUUAUCCGGAUUUAUUGGGUUUAAAGGGUGCGUAGGCGGCCUUUUAAGUCAGCGGUGAAAGUCUGUGGCUCAACCAUAGAAUUGCCGUUGAAACUGGGAGGCUUGAGUAUGUUUGAGGCAGGCGGAAUGCGUGGUGUAGCGGUGAAAUGCUUAGAUAUCACGCAGAACCCCGAUUGCGAAGGCAGCCUGCCAAGCCAUGACUGACGCUGAUGCACGAAAGCGUGGGGAUCAAACAGGAUUAGAUACCCUGGUAGUCCACGCAGUAAACGAUGAUCACUAGCUGUUUGCGAUACA
rnacentral:rRNA from 1 species